rnacentral:misc_RNA from 1 species
AGAGGUGCUGCAGCUGCUAUUAUUGUUUAUGAUAUAACAAAUCAAGCAUCAUUUGAUAGAGCAAAAAAAUGGGUUCAGGAACUUCAAGCACAAGGUAAUCCGAAUAUGGUGAUGGCACUAGCCGGAAAUAAGGCAGAUUUGUUAGAUGCAAGAAAAGUGGCUGCUGAGGAAGCACAAACAUAUGCGGAGGAGAAUGGUCUGUUCUUCAUGGAAACAUCUGCAAAAACUGCAUCUAAUGUUAAUGAUGUUUUCUCUGAAAUAGCAAAGAGACUGCCUCGACUUCAGCCAGCACAAAAUCCAUCUGGGAUGGUUCUUAUGGAUAGGCCUGCUCAAACACCGGCUAGUGCUUCUUGUUGCUCUUAAAUCUCUGCUGGUGCUUUUCAUCUCAAUGUUGUUUUUGCUUAAUUUGUUUGUGCUGAUUAUUAGAGUUCGUUGUGCUCAUGGUCCAUCACUGUACAGAUUUCAUGAAAACAUCUUCAAUGUGCUGAACUCUUUUCUGUGGAUCCUCCUAAUGUAAUGAGAUUUGUGACAUGCUCAAG